AUUUUUCAACAGCAGCUUCCGACCUCGGGCUUACCCCUCCUAACCUAUGUCAGCAAAUCGCUCCGCAGUUCGCAAAGUAGGAUCUGGGUUUACGGCCUGUGCCAUCCAUCUGCAAAUCCUGUGGCUUCUACAUCCACAAAUGUCCAGAAUCCACCCGCUUCUCCCUACGGCCACGGAUACCGGCAUUAUCAAAGGGCGUCAUCUCUCAACUGAAUUACCGAAAUAGUCUCUUACUUGGCCGUGGUUGCCCCCUCUAGUCUCUUCUGAACACAAUAGCUGUACUGAUCUCUUUAAAAGAUGUUCUGCUUUUGUUUACCUGAUGUUCCCUCCGACGAAUCCUGAGAUACUGUCAUUUUCAUAUUGUUUAUCUAUAAGUGGCACAUACACUUGAGAGAUCGUAAUAUCAAGAAUCCUCUUCUUCUGGGUCCCUGUGCUGAACUGUUGCCCCAAAUAAACCAGACUAACUAAUUCAUCUGAAAGUUCUGGGAGGAAGAUUUUUAUAGAUAAGGAAACUGAGGCUUCAAGUAAA